rnacentral:rRNA from 1 species
AUUGAACGCUGGCGGGAUGCCUUACACAUGCAAGUCGAACGAGUGGCGGACGGGUGAGUAAUGUCUCGGAAACUGCCCAAUGGAGGGGGAUAACUACUGGAAAGGGUAGCUAAUACCGCAUACUAUUGGAUCGGCCGAGAUGGGAUUAGCUUGUUGGUGGGGUAACGGCUCACCAAGGCGACGAUCCGUAGCUGGUCUGAGAGGACGACCAGCCACACUGGAACUGAGACACGGCCCAGACUCCUACGGGAGGCAGCAGUGGGGAAUUUUGCACAAUGGGCGCAAGCCUGAUGCAGCCAUGCCGCGUGUAUGAAGAAGGCCUUCGGGUUGUAAAGUACUUUCGGCGGAGAGGCGGUACCCGCAGAAGAAGCACCGGCUAACUACGUGCCAGCAGCCGCGGUAAUAC